ensembl:lncRNA
AUGCCUCUGCUGGACUCUCCAAUAAAGCUGUUUGAAAUGGUCUAUCUGGGAGAGAGGAUGGGCAACAAAGUGGGCUUUGUACACUUGCUGGUGCCAUUUGUGGCAGAGAAGGACUUUCUCGGAUUGCUUUGGGAUGAUGAAGAGCGUGUCUCUCAUCCAAAAACUGAAAUGAUACCUUCAGGUGUUCCAUACUCCAAAGAGUUAAAACGGAUCAGUAAAUCAGUGGAGGGUAAGUGAACUGUUAAAUCACAAAUUUUUAUUGUUAUAGUAGUGCUCCAGCCUAUAUAAAUUUGAUUGUUUAUAGCAAAUGAUUCCCGUAUACUACACUUAAAAUAUUCCUUCUGAUUGGAAGUAUAAUCAAGCACAUAGAUGAUAUCAAUAAUUCUUUAAGUAUAAUUGAAUAUUUAAGCUUCAAAAGACAUGUAAACAGGGAAAAUAAAUGUAUAGAAAAAGAAAUUUAAUUGGUAAGCAUUUUAAUUGAUGUUUUCUAAUGAAAUAUAAAAGUAUUAUGUAUUUAACAAUGUAAUAAUUUUGGUGAAAUUCUUUGGUGAGGGUGUGGUAAAAUAGAUAUAAAUGGGGUUAAGACUGUGGACUUUUAUCAUUCCCACACAAUUAAUAUGGCUGUGCCGAUCCACAGUAUACUCCGUUAGCCAAUAAUGCUGCUUUUAUAAAGCUCCUUAAGGAAAAUGCACAGUUAGCAAAUUUGUUCAUUGUAGAAUUAUGUAUUAGUUGUAGAUUGAUAGAAGUAAAUAAAAACAACUAAUGCAAGGGAUUAGGGUAAAUUAACUGUAAUAAUAUACAGUUCUUUAAAAUUUUGUCAAAACACAUUUGUUUUGUUUUUUAUUGAGGCAUAGUUGGUGUACAGAACACAUAGAAUGCUAAAUAGAUCCCGUGUGUGUGUGUGUGUCUGUGUGAGAGACAGAAAGAGAAAGGAGAGAGGGGGGGAAAAGGAAUUUAAAACACAAAUACACAAGAGAAAAAUAGGCAACCAUGAUGGUGAGAUUAAGGGUAAUUUUUAUUUUCCUGUUUACAUUUUGUUUAGCUUUUAAAUUCUUUUGCAGUGCAUGCAUCAGUUUUGUGGUCCAAAACAGCGUUGCUUUAAAAACUACAUUGAAUGAGUAUUCCAACUUCUGAACUGCUGGUUUUGAGGAAAAACAGAUUUUGCAGUCCACUGGCAGCAUGUUUGUGGUGUCCUUUCUUUUCUCCUGUUCCCCCAGCCUAUAGACAGCAGCUUGACUGAGAGACCUACAGGCUGAUGUGUAUCUCUCUCUUUCACUCACACACGCAGGCGUGUACACACACACACACAUACACACACAUGAUCAAAGGAUAUUCUAGUGUGUCCCUUGAGAGGGUACUUUCUUUCCUUUAUCCUGAAUAAUUUAAAUGGAGCUGAAGAAAGCUAUUCUUUUCCAUGCUGCUAAGUCACUUCAGUCGUCUCCGACUCUGUGUGACCCCAUAGACAGCAGCCCACCAGGCUCCCCCGUCCCUGGGAUUCUCCAGGCAAGCACACUGGAGUGGGUUGCCAUUUCCUUCUCCAAUGCAUGAAAGUGACAAGUGAAAGUGAAGUCGCUCAGUCGUGUCCGACCCUCAGAGACCCCAUGGAUUGCAGCCCACCAGGUUCCUCUGUCCAUGGGAUUUUCCAGGCAGGAGUACUGGAGUGGGGAUUCUUUUCCAUGAGCUGAUAUUAAAAGGUUGAGCAAACCAUGCAAUGAGUUACUUUCAUCUAUCGAUAUUAUCAUGACUAAAUAUCCUCUCUUACAUUAUUCAUUCGUUCAACAAAUAAUUUUGAGUGCCUAUUAGACUCUCAGGUAGUCACUUUUAUGGAGAUUAAAAUGUAUUCAUUUAUUCAUCUGUUUAGUCAGUCAGUAAACAGUAUUUCCUACAGUCCUUACCAGUGUGUGGCAGCUGCUAUUGCUAGACACUGCAAAUACUGUAGUGAACUAGAUAGAUAUGAGCCUACCCUCAAGGACCUCAUGGUCUGGUAGGAGAGAGAAAAAAUUCAACCAAUAAAUAAAAAUAAGUUCAGUUUGCAGAAUUGCCUUGUAAAAAUGCCCAGUGUUGCAGUAAGAUCGGCAUUGGUCCUCCCCAGUGAGGUGGUCCUGGAAGGCCUCUCUGAGCAGAGGACCUGGGUGUGACUUGGAAAGUGAUAGGAAAGUGAUCUGGGGUGAGCUGAGUUCCAGGGAGGUAGGGAAAGCACAUCCCAACCUGAGACAGGAAAGGAGCUUAUAGGUAGGGAAGCCCUAGAGGUAGGGAAAGUCUGCAAUGGGAUGGUCCUUGGCAGGCUCCAGGGAGGAGAGGGCAGCCUUUUGCCAGGGUGAUGAGUUUGGCUGGAUCCAACACAGAGUUUGAGUACAAAUUUGAGUUUUAAUGAGCAGACUAGUCAAGAGGUACAAUUAAGGUAUAAAUCAGAGAUUAACAAGCUCUUCCUAUAAAGGGCCAAAGAUUUUUUACGUUCUGGCCCUGCAGGGCUUUAGAGUCUCAACUCUGCCUUUGUUAAGGAAGACACUCAGAGGCAAUACGUAGAAGAAUGGGGUCUUCACUCAAAGAACCAGGCUUAGACAGAUUUGGCUCAGGAGGUGUAGUUUGCCAACCCUGGACAUAAACAGAAAAGUUGUACAACUCCUCAGUCAUGCUACUGGACGUCAGGGAAGGAGAAGAUGACUUCCUAUGGUGAAAUCAGAGGUGGGUCUUGAAAGAUAAGGAUAGAUCAAAAAUGAAAUGAUGGGGGGAAAGAAAAUAUAGGCAAAGGAAUCAGUAGGGUACAGUCCAGACUCAGUAAAGUCCAGAGCUCACAGGGAGGUAAUUAGUAUCUGCCCAGGGAGUGGUGAGGAAGUGCAGCUCUUUUAUUCCUCAGAUAUUUCAAGGACCUGUGAAGUAGCAGACACUGCACUGGACAGUGGGGGACGGGGAUAAGGAGUGAAUAAGGAAUGAACCUAUAAUCUCAGAUACUAGAGGGGUUGACAGAUAAGGAAGCAAGUCAUCCCAUGAUUAACUCAGUGUGGGGAAAUAAGGCUUCUUAAUAAGGAUGAGUCAAGAAAUUAACUUUCUUUCCUUCAUUGUAGCUGUUUUCUUUGGUGCUUGAUUAAGUCAAUGUGCUCACAUGCUAGAAAAUUACAAAGAUACCAGGGGAUAUACAGUGAAAAUUUUCUCUCCCAACCUCUAUCCCUUAAGCCUACUGAAUACCCACCCCACCACCUGCCCCCCAGCACAACCAGUGUCACUGAUUGCUUCUGGAUCCUUCUAAAGUUCAUCUAUGCAGAUCUAAAGAAAUGAGUAUGUUUGAGGUUCUUUGUUUUUCCUCUUGAUUACACUGAUAAUCUAGCUGAAUCUUUUAAGUAUAAAUUUUCCACAGAGGAGAAGGACAAUGGAGGUUAAAAGAAAGCAUGUGUCUUAAAGAUGGAUGGAGGAAAAG